rnacentral:tRNA from 1 species
GGUUUUAUAUUUUAUUGUUAAAAAUUUUAAAUUGCAAAUUUAAAGAUGGUUGAAUUACCUAAAACUU